rnacentral:lncRNA from 1 species
GUGUUUUCACCCAAAAUAGAAAAAGCUGACACAGAAAAUAGGCUUUUCUUGGUAGUUUUUCUGAUAAAAAUGGGGACCAGUGUAAAACCCAAGUAGACAAGACACAAAUCAACCCAAGAGCAAGAGAAAGGAUACUUUUCUUUUUCAGGGGGAGAUGCAAAGAAGCUUCAAACAAGGAAAUUACCUGUCUCUGGAUCCUUCUUAUGUCAAGAAAUCAGGUUUUGAUUGUCUGUGGAGAGCAAGGCUUGAUCCACAACAGAGGAUCCUUUGAGCUGUAGUGUUUACCUUGCUGUCUCAAGGCCUAACUGCUUCAUUCUUUGUAAUUUGAUUAUUUGGUCACGCCCUGGAAUGCAAAGUACUGCUCUGAUGUAUUUGUAUAAACCUAGGCUCUUCAAAUACUCCUAUUGCAUCUGGAGGAUGCUCAGUGAUCUCUUCUGGCCUUGCUGCAGCUCCAGCUCUCUUCCUGCAGCUCCUUUUUUCCUUCAGAAGAGCUAGGACAAGUGCCAGCUAAGGAAGCAAGACAUAUCUCUGCUAACAGCUGCUCCUUAAAAACUUGCAAAAUCCGAUUGUGUGCAGCUGACUGCAGAGCUGGUAUAUGUGUCAGAAACCUGACAGAAACUAAACCUGAAAAAAUGAGGGUAACAUACUUCUACUUAGAAGAUUUAAAGACGUUACUUUUUUUUUUUUUUUUGGUAGAAUCUCUUUACCAUACCCAAAAUUGGCUAGGGCAAAAGAUCUCUGUUAUUCAGCAUCUAAAUUAAAGGCUGAUAAAUCUGAUUGUUCUGAAGUGUUCUCCUUUAGCCUGCCAAAGUGAUUUCCAGAAAAAAUGAGUAAGACAUUUAUUCUUGUCCUUAUGUAUCAAGUGGAAUGAAAAAAAAAGUGUGAAAACCUAGAAAUUCAUGUUUAUUAUUUCAUUAUGCCUAUGCUUUUUACAACCCUUUUCCCCGCUUAUUCCAAGGCACAUUCCGGGAUGCCACUUGCAUGACUUUUAAGAAAGACCACAUAAAAAUGUCAGACUAGUUUUACAAAAAGCCUAGAGGCAAGUAGCACACUCUUCCUCUCACUUUAAUAAGAUUAAAAGUGGCAAUAACAGUUCAUUAUGUUUUUGAACAAUCUCCAGAAGAA